rnacentral:rRNA from 1 species
GAAAGGCUGCGGCUCAACCCGCAGCACUGCAGUUGAUACUGGCGUCCUUGAGUGCGGUUGAGGUGUGUGGAAUUCGUGGUGUAGCGGUGAAAUGCUUAGAUAUCACGAAGAACUCCGAUUGCGAAGGCAGCACACUAAGCCGCUACUGACGUUGAGGCUCGAAAGUGUGGGUAUCAAACAGGAUUAGAUACCCUGGUAGUCCACACGGUAAACGAUGAAUACUCGCUGUUGGCGAUACAAUGUCAGCGGCCAAGCGAAAGCAUUAAGUAUUCCACCUGGGGAGUACGCCGGCAACGGUGAAACUCAAAGGAAUUGACGGGGGCCCGCGCAAGCGGAGGAACAUGUGGUUUAAUUCGAUGAUACGCGAGGAACCUUACCCGGGCUUAAAUUGCACUGGACAGGCCAAGAGAUUGGCUUUUCUUCGGACCAGUGUGAAGGUGCUGCAUGGUUGUCGUCAGCUCGUGCCGUGAGGUGUCGGCUUAAGUGCCAUAACGAGCGCAACCCUUGCCAUUAGUUACUAACAGGUUAUGCUGAGGACUCUAGUGGGACUGCCAUCGUAAGAUGUGAGGAAGGUGGGGAUGACGUCAAAUCAGCACGGCCCUUACCUCGGGGGAUAUACACGCGUUACAAUGGGAGGUACAGAAGGCUGCUACCCGGAGUCGGGAUGCCAAUCCCCAAAACCUCUGUCAGUUCGGAUUGGAGUUUGCAACCCGAGUCCAUGAAGAUGGAUUCGUUAGUAAUCGCGCAUCAGCCACGGCGCGGUGAAUACGUUCCCGGGCUUUGUACACACCUCCCGUCAAGCCCUGAAAGCCGGGGGUACGUGAAGAGCGUGACCGCAAGGAGCGCCGUAG